AGGGUUUGAUUCUGGCUCAGGAUGAACGCUAGCUACAGGCUUAACACAUGCAAGUCGAGGGGCAGCAUCAUCAAAGCUUGCUUUGAUGGAUGGCGACCGGCGCACGGGUGAGUAACACGUAUCCAACCUGCCGACAACUCUGGGAUAGCCUUUCGAAAGAAAGAUUAAUACCGGAUGGCAUAGUCUUCCCGCAUGGGAUGACUAUUAAAGAAUUUCGGUUGUCGAUGGGGAUGCGUUCCAUUAGGCAGUUGGCGGGGUAACGGCCCACCUAGUCUUCGAUGGAUAGGGGUUCUGAGAGGAAGGUCCCCCACAUUGGAACUGAGACACGGUCCAA
rnacentral:rRNA from 1 species